ACACUUUUCACCUAUGGGUAUUUUUCCAAAUAUAAACCCUAGGUUAAAUUAUUGCUAGAAUAAGCUAAAUUAAGCUACCGGGACUCCAAAAACGUAAAAAACAUUAAAAACGGGACUUGGGAUCACUUACUAUGGAGCUUGGAAGCUUGAAAACCCUAACUAUGGCUUCCCCCCUUGAUGGUUUCGUUCAUAUGAAGAAGAUGAGCAUAAUUUGCCAUCUUUUUCCCUUUUAAUUCAUUUUAAUUACUAGAUUACCAAAUUG
rnacentral:lncRNA from 1 species